rnacentral:lncRNA from 1 species
GCUGCCUCGCCCUCCGUGAGGCAGCACAUUUCUGGCAAGGAUUUGACAGAAGCCUGGGAGCAUGACAAAGAUUUGAUUGAUUCUGCAGCACACUGCAUAGACUGAGACUUUUUGAUGUCGUGUUAAACUUGAGAUUGUCUGGCUUUCAAGAACGUUCCUCUCCCAGUUUGCCUGGCCCGUGAAUUUUAGGCAGCGUAUCUGUAGUUCACAUUCCCUGCGCCAGUCCUUGAACACAGACUUCUGAGAGACGUUUUAAAAAUACGACACUUUCAUUGGGUUCUCAGAGGACACGCAGGAGGAAAUGUCUCUGGAGGAUCUGACCUCCCUUCCUCUGGAGGCGCCUCUCAGAAAUGUCACAGUAGAGCACGACUGGCAUUGUCCCCCCAGAAGCACAGAGGGCCAGCUGGGAACAUUUAGAAUGCUGAGCAAUGAUAACUGUGAAAUUAUGAGCAGAUUGUCUGCUCUCUUCUUUCUGCAUCCACCUCUUCAUAGCCAUGACCAAAUGUUCCAUGAAGAACUUCUGCAAUCCUGCAAGUGGACCCUUCCUUCUGCUCCCCUUCCCCCCACACCCUCAAGCACCACUGCUAUGGAGUCAGAUCUCUGCGAUUGGAUCCCAUCCUUGCCCUCUAUAAAUUGUCAUCUUAAGCAAGCCAACCCCCCCCCCGCCCCCGCCCCCCCCCCCCGCCAUCCUGCAUCUCUGUCCUCAUCCAAAAUUAGAGAUAGUAAGAUAGUAAUACCUCACUGGCAAGAUUAUUCUGAGGAUUAA